UGAGUAACACGUGGGAACCUUCCCUAUAGUACGGAAUAGCCCAGGGAAACUUGGAGUAAUACCGUAUACGCCCGAAAGGGGAAAGAAUUUCGCUAUAGGAUGGGCCCGCGUAGGAUUAGCUAGUUGGUGAGGUAAUGGCUCACCAAGGCGACGAUCCUUAGCUGGUUUGAGAGAACGACCAGCCACACUGGGACUGAGACACGGCCCAGACUCCUACGGGAGGCAGCAGUGGGGAAUAUUUGGCAAUGGGCGCAAGCCUGAUCCAGCCAUGCCGCGUGAGUGAUGAAGGCCUUAGGGUUGUAAAGCUCUUUUGCCGGGGACGAUANUGACGGUACCCGGAGAAUAAGUCCCGGCUAACUUCGUGCCAGCAGCCGCGGUAAUACGAAGGGGACUAGCGUUGUUCGGAAUCACUGGGCGUAAAGCGCACGUAGGCGGAUUCGUAAGUCAGGGGUUAAAUCCCGGGGCUUAACCUCGGAACUGCCUUUGAUCUGCGGGUCUUGAGUCCGAUAGAGGUGGGUGGAAUUCCUAGUGUAGAGGUGAAAUUCGUAGAUUUUAGGA
rnacentral:rRNA from 1 species